rnacentral:rRNA from 1 species
UGCGUAGGCGGUUUUUUAAGUUAGAUGUGAAAUCCCCGGGCUUAACCUGGGAAUUGCAUUUAAGACUGGAAGGCUAGAGUAGAGUAGAGGGAAGUGGAAUUUCCGGUGUAGCGGUGAAAUGCGUAGAUAUCGGAAAGAACAUCAGUGGCGAAGGCGGCUUCCUGGACUCAUACUGACGCUGAGGCACGAAAGCAUGGGGAGCAAACAGGAUUAGAUACCCUGGUAGUCCAUGCCGUAAACGAUGAUAACUAGAUGCUGGUAGGUUAAACUUAUCAGUAUCGAAGCUAACGCGAUAAGUUAUCCGCCUGGGGAGUACGGCCGCAAGGCUAAA